GGCGGGGGCGCGGGCGGCAGUGGCGGGAGCGGCCCCUCGGCCAUCCUCCGUCUGCUGCCCAGUUACCGCUUCCGCUACCGCCGCCGCUCCCGCU
rnacentral:pre_miRNA from 1 species